GUUUCCUCCGCAGAUGAGAUGACACUGGCCUCAACAUCAAUCAAUCAGCAGAUGUAUGAGGCUACUGUCAUCUCUCCUGAGGAUGAAAC
rnacentral:pre_miRNA from 1 species